GUAGAGACUGGCGUUGUUGAUGCCAUAUUGUUGUUCCGACUUGAAUGAAUGUAUUAGCGCAAUUUAGGCACAAGGCAGUUUGUUUAUCAGGUCGAAACAGCAGUCUAGUUCCAACUUUGUCAUCGCUAGCUGCAAAUCAAUACAGACUUUUGACGAUGUUAGUAUAUUUUUGAUGUUGUCGUUGAAUUGAAGAUGUAGAAAACGGAAAACAUCAUGAAGAUAGCCAUCGAACUAUCGUUGUUUUUCCUAGUUUUACAACUUACAAAAAGCUGCGAUGACGGCAGCACUGAAUUAUCCAUUGAGGAAGAAGACACCAAGACGUUUGAAAUCAACUUUUCAUCGCCUGAGGAAUUGGAACGUGAGUAUAUGUGUGAGUAGAUUAUGUUGAAGAAAUUUUGGUUUAAAAUAUACUAUUAAUAUUGAU